rnacentral:rRNA from 1 species
GACAGAGGGUGCAAACGUUGUUCGGAAUUACUGGGCGUAAAGCGUGCGCAGGCGGUUUUGUAAGACCGAUGUGAAAUCCCCGGGCUUACCUGGGAACUGCAUUGGUGACUGCAAGGCUUGAGUGUGUCAGAGGGAGGUGGAAUUCCGCGUGUAGCAGUGAAAUGCGUAGAUAUGCGGAGGAACACCGAUGGCGAAGGCAGCCUCCUGGGAUAACACUGACGCUCAUGCACGAAAGCGUGGGGAGCAAACAGG